rnacentral:rRNA from 1 species
GGGUCAUUAGGUUGGUCGUGCCACCGGUACGUACUGGUCUCACUGAUUCCUCCUUCCUGAAGAACCGUAAUGCCAUUAAUUUGGUGUUGCGGGGAAACAGGACUGUUACUUUGAAAAAAUUAGAGUGCUUAAAGCAAGCUAACGCUUGAAUACAUUAGCAUGGAAUAAUGAAAUAGGACGAUCGAUCCUAUUUUGUUGGUUUCUAGGAUUGACGUA